UACGAAGGGGGCUAGCGUUGCUCGGAAUCACUGGGCGUAAAGGGUGCGUAGGCGGUUCUUUAAGUCAGGGGUGAAAUCCUGGAGCUCAACUCCAGAACUGCCUUUGAUACUGCGGAUCUUGAGUUCGGGAGAGGUGAGUGGAACUGCGAGUGUAGAGGUGAAAUUCGUAGAUAUUCGCAAGAACACCAGUGGCGAAGGCGGCUCACUGGCCCGAUACUGACGCUGAGGCACGAAAGCGUGGGGAGCAAACAGG
rnacentral:rRNA from 1 species